GCCCGCUUAGCUCAGCUGGUAGAGCAACUGACUCUUAAUCAGUAGGUCCUGGGUUCGAAUCCCGGAGCGGGUACCA
rnacentral:tRNA from 1 species